UCUUGUAUUUACUGUAUAGAGUGCUAAACCUCCAUAUUUUACUUUUUGUCAUUGUAUAUCGAUCGGAUGUCCACACUAAGUUCAGCACCAAUUUGGUGACUCUGAGGGAGCUUGGAGCUACCAGGUUGGUCUAAGGAGGGGUGAACCGGCCCAGGUUGGGAACAGAGCAGGUCAAAUCCCCCGUGUUGAUCAGUAGUGGGACAGCACCUGUGAAUAGACAAUGUAGA